AAGUUCUCAACCGCAUCAAAAUUUUGUUGCGGCUUGGAAAUGGAGGUUUAUGCAGGCUUGAUCAAGUCUGCUCCUCUGAAAUGAAUUAGUGGUCGUUUGAUGGCUCAGGUGUGAUAUAAAACUAUCUAUGCCUAAUGCUGAACCAAACAUCUGCUGCAAAAGAAACCUUUUGAUGA
rnacentral:misc_RNA from 1 species